GACGAACGCUGGCGGCGUGCUUAACACAUGCAAGUCGAACGGAAAGGCCCUGCUUUUGUGGGGUGCUCGAGUGGCGAACGGGUGAGUAACACGUGAGUAACCUGCCCUUGACUUUGGGAUAACUUCAGGAAACUGGGGCUAAUACCGGAUAGGAGCUCCUGCUGCAUGGUGGGGGUUGGAAAGUUUCGGCGGUUGGGGAUGGACUCGGGGCUUAUCAGCUUGUUGGUGGGGUAGUGGCUUACCAAGGCUUUGACGGGUAGCCGGCCUGGGAGGGUGACCGGCCACGUUGGGACUGGGCUACGGCCCAGCCUACUACGGGAGGGAGCGGAGGGGAAUGUAGUACUAGGGGCUGAAGGCUAAUGCGGCAAAGCCGCGUGGCGGAUGACAGCCAUCGGGUUGUAUCGUGCUUUCGCCUGUGACGAAGCGUGAGUGACGGUAAUGGGUAAAGAAGCACCGGCUAACUACGUG
rnacentral:rRNA from 1 species